rnacentral:rRNA from 1 species
CCUACGGGAGGCAGCAGUGGGGAAUAUUGCACAAUGGGGGAAACCCUGAUGCAGCGACGCCGCGUGGGUGAAGGAGCGUUUCGGCGCGUAAAGCCCUAUCGGCAGGGAAGAAGGAGGACGGUACCUGACUAAGAAGCCCCGGCUAACUACGUGCCAGCAGCCGCGGUAAUACGUAGGUGGCAAGCGUUAUCCGGAUUUACUGGGUGUAAAGGGGGCGCAGACGGGAGCGCAAGCCAGGAGUGAAAGCCCGGGGCCCAACCCCGGGACUGCUCUUGAAACUGGGCGGCUGGAGUGCAGGAGGGGCAGGCGGAAUGCCUGGUGGAGCGGUGAAAUGCGUAGAUAUCAGGAGGAACACCGGUGGCGAAGGCGGCCUGCGGGACUGCGGCUGACGUUGAGGCACGAAAGCGUGGGGAGCAAACAGGAUUAGAUACCCGAGUAGUC